GACGAACGCUGGCGGCGUGCUUAACACAUGCAAGUCGAACGGAAAGGCCCCUUUUGGGGUACUCGAGUGGCGAACGGGUGAGUAACACGUUAGUAACCUGCCCUUGACUUCGGGAUAACUUCAGGAAACUGGGGCUAAUACCGGAUAGGAAUCCUUGCUGCAUGGUGGGGGUUGGAAAGCUUCGGCGGUUUUGGAUGGACUCGCGGCUUAUCAGCUUGUUGGUGGGGUAGUGGCUUACCAAGGCUUUGACGGGUAGCCGGCCUGAGAGGGCGACCGGCCACAUUGGGACUGAGAUACGGCCCAGACUCCUACGGGAGGCAGCAGUGGGGAAUAUUGCACAAUGGGCGGAAGCCUGAUGCAGCAACGCCGCGUGCGGGAUGACGGCCUUCGGGUUGUAAACCGCUUUCAGCAGGGGCGAAGCUUGUGGUGACGGUACCUGCAGAAGAAGCACCGGCUAACUACGUG
rnacentral:rRNA from 1 species